UUGAAGAAUUUGAAGACUUUAACUUGCAGACUCGAAGAAUUUUAAGACUUCAACUUUUUUACUUUGAGAUUUUGGAGACUCCAAGU
rnacentral:pre_miRNA from 1 species